UGCCUACGGGAGGCAGCAGUGAGGAAUAUUGGUCAAUGGACGAGAGUCUGAACCAGCCAAGUAGCGUGAAGGAUGACUGCCCUAUGGGUUGUAAACUUCUUUUAUAAAGGAAUAAAACGAGGCACGUGUGCCUUUUUGCAUGUACUUUAUGAAUAAGGAUCGGCUAACUCCGUGCCAGCAGCCGCGGUAAUACGGAGGAUCCGAGCGUUAUCCGGAUUUAUUGGGUUUAAAGGGUGCGUAGGCGGAUUUUUAAGUCAGCGGUAAAAUGUCCGGGCUCAACCCGGGCCGGCCGUUGAAACUGGGGG
rnacentral:rRNA from 1 species